rnacentral:rRNA from 1 species
ACGCUGGCGGCAGGCCUAACACAUGCAAGUCGAACGGUAACAGGAAGCAGCUUGCUGCUUCGCUGACGAGUGGCGGACGGGUGAGUAAUGUCUGGGAAACUGCCUGAUGGAGGGGGAUAACUACUGGAAACGGUGGCUAAUACCGCAUAACGUCGCAAGACCAAAGAGGGGGACCUUCGGGCCUCUUGCCAUCAGAUGUGCCCAGAUGGGAUUAGCUUGUUGGUGAGGUAACGGCUCACCAAGGCGACGAUCCCUAGCUGGUCUGAGAGGAUGACCAGCCACACUGGAACUGAGACACGGUCCAGACUCCUACGGGAGGCAGCAGUGGGGAAUAUUGCACAAUGGGCGCAAGCCUGAUGCAGCCAUGCCGCGUGUAUGAAGAAGGCCUUCGGGUUGUAAAGUACUUUCAGCGGGGAGGAAGGUGUUGUGGUUAAUAACCGCAGCAAUUGACGUUACCCGCAGAAGAAGCACCGGCUAACUCCGUGCCAGCAGCCGCGGUAAUACGGAGGGUGCAAGCGUUAAUCGGAAUUACUGGGCGUAAAGCGCACGCAGGCGGUCUGUCAAGUCGGAUGUGAAAUCCCCGGGCUCAACCUGGGAACUGCAUUCGAAACUGGCAGGCUUGAGUCUUGUAGAGGGGGGUAGAAUUCCAGGUGUAGCGGUGAAAUGCGUAGAGAUCUGGAGGAAUACCGGUGGCGAAGGCGGCCCCCUGGACAAAGACUGACGCUCAGGUGCGAAAGCGUGGGGAGCAAACAGGAUUAGAUACCCUGGUAGUCCACGCCGUAAACGAUGUCUACUUGGAGGUUGUGCCCUUGAGGCGUGGCUUCCGGAGCUAACGCGUUAAGUAGACCGCCUGGGGAGUACGGCCGCAAGGUUAAAACUCAAAUGAAUUGACGGGGGCCCGCACAAGCGGUGGAGCAUGUGGUUUAAUUCGAUGCAACGCGAAGAACCUUACCUGGUCUUGACAUCCACAGAACUUUCCAGAGAUGGAUUGGUGCCUUCGGGAACUGUGAGACAGGUGCUGCAUGGCUGUCGUCAGCUCGUGUUGUGAAAUGUUGGGUUAAGUCCCGCAACGAGCGCAACCCUUAUCCUUUGUUGCCAGCGAUUAGGUCGGGAACUCAAAGGAGACUGCCAGUGAUAAACUGGAGGAAGGUGGGGAUGACGUCAAGUCAUCAUGGCCCUUACGACCAGGGCUACACACGUGCUACAAUGGCGCAUACAAAGAGAAGCGACCUCGCGAGAGCAAGCGGACCUCAUAAAGUGCGUCGUAGUCCGGAUUGGAGUCUGCAACUCGACUCCAUGAAGUCGGAAUCGCUAGUAAUCGUGGAUCAGAAUGCCACGGUGAAUACGUUCCCGGGCCUUGUACACACCGCCCGUCACACCAUGGGAGUGGGUUGCAAAAGAAGUAGGUAGCUUAACCUUCGGGAGGGCGCUUACCACUUUGUGAUUCAUGACUGGGGUGAAGUCGUAACAAGGUAACCGUAGGGGAACCUGCGGUUGGAUCACCUCCUUACCUUAAAGAAGC